rnacentral:rRNA from 1 species
CGCAAUCGACUGCGGAUCACCUCGGUUCUCGGGUCGAUGAAGAACGCAGCCAGCUGCGAGACUUGGUGUGAAUUGCAGGACACACUGAGCACUGAUUCUUUGAACGCACAUUGCGGCCUUGGGUCUUCCCUUGGCUUCGUCUGUCUGAGGGUCG